UACCAGCACCCCGAGUGGGCGGGACGAUUAUUGGGCCUAAAGCAUCCGUAGCCGGUUCUACAAGUCUUCCGUUAAAUCCACCUGCUUAACAGAUGGGCUGCGGAGGAUACUAUAGAGCUAGGAGGCGGGAGAGGCAAGCGGUACUUAGUGGGUAGGGGUAAAAUCCGUUGAUCCAUUGAAGACCACCAGUGACGAAGGCGGCUUGCCAGAACGCACUCGACGGUGAGGGAUGAAAGCUGGGGGAGCAAACCGG
rnacentral:rRNA from 1 species